CCUACGGGAGGCAGCAGUGAGGAAUAUUGGUCAAUGGGCGAGAGCCUGAACCAGCCAAGUCGCGUGAGGGAGUACUGCCCUAUGGGUUGUAAACCUCUUUUGUCGGGGAGCAAAAGCCGGACGUGUCCGGCUGUGAGAGUACCCGAAGAAAAAGCAUCGGCUAACUCCGUGCCAGCAGCCGCGGUAAUACGGAGGAUGCGAGCGUUUUCCGGAUUUAUGGGGUUUAAAGGGUGCGGGGGCGGAUUUUUAAGUCAGCGGUCAAAUCGUGGGGCUCAACCCCAUCCAGCCGUGGAAACUGGGGAUCUAGAGUGUGCGAGAGGUAUGCGGAAUGCGUGGUGUAGCGGUGAAAUGCAUAGAUAUCACGCAGAACCCCGAUUGCGAAGGCAGCAUACCGGUGCACAACUGACGCUCAGGCACGAAAGCGUGGGUAUCGAACAGGAUUAGAUACCCUGGUAGUC
rnacentral:rRNA from 1 species